UGUUGUCAACAUUAGUAAAAAUAAUGGUAAAGUCAGAGAUGGUUCAUUCCAUAUAAUUAACAUAGAUUGUUAAUGAGUUUGAAUUAUUACCUGCAUAAACUAUGUAACUACCUGAGAGAGGCUCAGAGCUGACGGACAGAAGAGCAGAAACCAAGAUGGCUUACCUGUUUAAUUAUUGCUGUUUGAGCAAGUUUGGCUGGAUCUGGUUUUGUUUCUCCAUUUAGACUUUCUGUGGCCGUCCCAUCAUUAGAAUCAGUGUCCAUUUUUAAAUGUGUAAAGGAAUUCCAGAGUCAGGUGCUGUCUGGCAUUAGAUCUCGCGUCUGCAAGACAAGAAGAGCUGAUAUUAAACACUCAAUGUAAAACAUUGUAUAAGAGGAAUGAUGGUUGUACCAAUAGUCUUUAUAGAUCCUUAUAAGCAGGAGGUAAAUUAAACAGGAUUGGUAAUAUCUACCCAUAAGCCCUUUUUAAGCAAAAACUUGGAUUGAGAGAGGUUAAAUGAAAGGAUCAGAAGUUCCUCCUUAUCUUUCUUUUUUUAUUACAGUUGGAUCUCUAAAUGGUAUAAAUUUCAAGCAUGUCAAAAUAUAUUUGUUAAUGAAACAGACCAGAAUAUGGUUACUUUGAGUACAGGAACCAGAGGGAUGGUACCAACUGGAACUGAUGAUUUUGCUUUCAUGUGCUUCUGAACCAUAGUCUAGCGCAGGUGAUUCUUGAAUUGUGCAAGAGCGAAGACGCUAACCGCUAUACAUACUACUACUACCUGUUGUUUUAACGCUUCCACAGAAGUGAUAUCACAGACAAGGCUUAGGAGAGCCGAAGCUUCUUCCUGUUUUAAGAAUAUGAUUUAGCAAUCUUUCCAUUUGCGGCCUUUAGGCCAUGGAAUAGGUUUAGUUGGAUAUUCAUCUUUUUAUUAAAUACAAAAAACAAAAAGUAAUGUGUUGGUAGUCGAUUUCUCUUCUGGAUUGGUAGAUGUCGUCUUUGUGGGAUUAGUGUUUAGGUGCCAGACCUGUCUUAUCGUGGUCUCUCCUUACUCCACUAUCCCACUCUGCAGAUUUGGUGUCGUUUUUAGCUGUUUAGUGUUUAGUUAGUCACAGUGAUAAAUACUGAAUGCAGUAUACAUUGGGGGAAUGUUGAUAACGGCAUGCACUCCUCGAAAUGAAAUGGGGUCUAAUGUAAUACAUGUACUUUUCUGCACCAACUGGGCUAAUGGAGAUGUACAUACACCUAUAAAGUGUGCUAUGUGGGAAAUUUUGCCCAGAAAGCAGUGCUACUGCCUACUCUUAUAUCACAUUCAAACUGUCAAUAGUUCUUUUAUAUGCACACAUAAUAUGUGUUCAUUGUACUUUGGUUUUUUUGUGCCAUCCAAACAACUAGACACUGUUCUUUUGCCUUCUGUCCUGCACCACUAACAAGGGGGAACUGCACCGGAAAAA